AGAUUGUUUGUGCUCAUUUACCAGACGUUGAGGGCCAUGCAAACAUGUCCUGCAUUCUGCUAAGAGGCCAAUUCAAGGUCGAGAGUACCUAAAGAGUGAAUAAAAUAAAAUGGAUUUCACUUUCAA